rnacentral:rRNA from 1 species
UUAAUUNGUGGCGACGGGUGAGUAACACGUAAGCAACCUGCCCUUAAGACGAGAAUAACAAUUGGAAACAGUUGCUAAGGCUGGAUAGGAAAUAAAAAGGCAUCUUUUUAUUUUUAAAAGACCUUUUUCGGAAGGUAUGCUUAAAGAGGGGCUUGCGUCACAUUAGUUAGUUGGUAGGGUAAAGGCCUACCAAGACGAUGAUGUGUAGCUGGACUGAGAGGUUGAACAGCCACAUUGGGACUGAGACACGGCCCAAACUCCUACGGGAGGCAGCAGUAGGGAAUUUUCGGCAAUGGAGGAAACUCUGACCGAGCAACGCCGCGUGAACGACGAAGUACUUCGGUAUGUAAAGUUCUUUUAUUGAAGAAGAAACAAUAGUGGAAAAACUAUCUUGACGUUAUUCAAUGAAUAAGCCCCGGCUAACUAUGUGCCAGCAGCCGCGGUAAUACAUAGGGGGCGAGCGUUAUCCGGAAUUAUUGGGCGUAAAGGGUGCGUAGGCGGUUUAAUAAGUCUCUAGUUUAAUUUCAACGCUUAACGUUGUCCUGCUAGAGAAACUGUUUAACUAGAGUGAGAUAGAGGUAAGCGGAAUUCCAUGUGUAGCGGUAAAAUGUGUAAAUAUAUGGAGGAACACCAGAGGCGUAGGCGGCUUACUGGGUCUUUACUGACGCUGAUGCACGAAAGCGUGGGGAGCAAACAGGAUUAGAUACCCUGGUAGUCCACGCCGUAAACUAUGAGUACUAAGUGUCGGGGUUAAACUCGGUACUGAAGUUAACACAUUAAGUACUCCGCCUGAGUAGUACGUACGCAAGUAUGAAACUUAAAGGAAUUGACGGGAUCCCGCACAAGCGGUGGAUCAUGUUGUUUAAUUCGAAGAUACACGAAAAACCUUACCAGGUCUUGACAUACUCUGCAAAGCUAUAGAAAUAUAGUGGAGGUUAUCAGGGAUACAGGUGGUGCAUGGUUGUCGUCAGCUCGUGUCGUGAGAUGUUAGGUUAAGUUCUAAAACGAGCGCAACCCCUGUCGUUAAUUGCCAGCACGUUAUGGUGGGGACUUUAGCGAGACUGCCAAUGAAAAAUUGGAGGAAGGUGGGGAUUACGUCAAAUCAUCGUGCCCCUUAUGAUCUGGGCUACAAACGUGAUACAAUGGCUAUUACAAAGAGUAGCUGAAACGCGAGUUUUUGGCAAAUCUCAAAAAAAUAGUCUCAGUUCGGAUUGAAGUCUACAACUCGACUUCAUGAAGUUGGAAUCGCUAGUAAUCGCGAAUCAGCAUGUCGCGGUGAAUACGUUCUCGGGGUUUGUACCACACCGCCCGUCAAACCACGAAAGUGGACAAUACCCCG